rnacentral:rRNA from 1 species
AGAGUUUGAUCCUGGCUCAGGAUGAACGCUAGCUACAGGCUUAACACAUGCAAGUCGAGGGGAAACGGCAUUGAGUGCUUGCACUCUUUGGACGUCGACCGGCGCACGGGUGAGUAACGCGUAUCCAACCUUCCCAUUACUGUGGGAUAACCUGCCGAAAGGCAGACUAAUACCGCAUAGUCUUCGAUGACGGCAUCAGAUUUGAAGUAAAGAUUUAUCGGUAAUGGAUGGGGAUGCGUCUGAUUAGCUUGUUGGCGGGGUAACGGCCCACCAAGGCAACGAUCAGUAGGGGUUCUGAGAGGAAGGUCCCCCACAUUGGAACUGAGACACGGUCCAAACUCCUACGGGAGGCAGCAGUGAGGAAUAUUGGUCAAUGGACGGAAGUCUGAACCAGCCAAGUAGCGUGCAGGAUGACGGCCCUAUGGGUUGUAAACUGCUUUUGUAUGGGGAUAAAGUUAGGGACGUGUCCCUAUUUGCAGGUACCAUACGAAUAAGGACCGGCUAAUUCCGUG